UGCAGCCGGGGAGUCAGCGGUGCCCUGUACCUGCAAUCCGCUCUAGCAGGGGUGAUAAUCUGUCCCGGAUACUUUUUUGUAAAGCAGCCUUUUGUAAGUGGCGUUGAAGCUUGGGUCUUAUGCAAUAGAAAUUUAUGAACCGUGUCAGGUCAGGAAUGAAGCAGCACUAAGUAAAACCUUCUAUGUGAUGUAAGGCAGCCUGAGCCGAGUUAACUGCAGAAGUAACGUUUA
rnacentral:SRP_RNA from 1 species